GACGAACGCUGGCGGCGUGCCUAAUACAUGCAAGUAGAACGCUGAAGGAGGAGCUUGCUUCUCUGGAUGAGUUGCGAACGGGUGAGUAACGCGUAGGUAACCUGCCUGGUAGCGGGGGAUAACUAUUGGAAACGAUAGCUAAUACCGCAUAAGAUUGACUAUUGCAUGAUAGUCAGUUAAAAGGUGCAAUUGCAUCACUACCAGAUGGACCUGCGUUGUAUUAGCUAGUUGGUGGGGUAACGGCUCACCAAGGCGACGAUACAUAGCCGACCUGAGAGGGUGAUCGGCCACACUGGGACUGGGACACGGCCCAGACUCCUACGGGAGGCAGCAGUAGGGAAUCUUCGGCAAUGGACGGAAGUCUGACCGAGCAACGCCGCGUGAGUGAAGAAGGUUUUCGGAUCGUAAAGCUCUGUUGUAAGAGAAGAACGAGUGUGAGAGUGGAAAGUUCACACUGUGACGGUAUCUUACCAGAAAGGGACGGCUAACUACGUG
rnacentral:rRNA from 1 species